GACGAACCGUGCGAACGUUAUUCGGAAUUAUUGGGCGUAAAGCGCGUGUAGGCGGCUUUGCAAGUCGGGUGUGAAAGCCCUCGGCUCAACCGAGGAAGUGCGCCCGAAACUGCAGAGCUUGAGUACCGGAGAGGAUGGCGGAAUUCCCCAAGUAGAGGUGAAAUUCGUAGAUAUGGGGAGGAACACCGGUGGCGAAGGCGGCCAUCUGGACGGAUACUGACGCUGAGACGCGAAAGCGUGGGGAGCAAACAGG
rnacentral:rRNA from 1 species